UCAUAGAAGUUGGAUGGGUGUCACUC
rnacentral:piRNA from 1 species